GCCUAUAUUUAACCUCAAAAAUGGUCACUGCAUAUGAUUCAAAUUAAUACAUUUUAAUUGAGAAUGGAGGAAAUGCUUUUCCCCUGCUCCUGACCUUUCCUUCAUGCAGAGGAGUUGCUAACCCUCCUGGCCUCUCUUUGCCCCCAUGCCCCUCUGUCCACACAUUCUGCCCUGUGAGGUGUAGUAAGUGAUUUAUUCUGUGUAUUUGGAAGGAGGAACUAGCCUUAGGAGCCUUGCUCCUUCAUCUCCUCUUUCUCACAGGGAGCCAGAAUUCUGUCUUGCUCUUCCAAGCUGUAAGGCCUAUGGGAGGUUUGAAUUUAUCCAUAACUUCCAGAGCCUGACGUGUUGUUUAAAAGUAAUAAAAGUAACAUUUGGUUCCUCAUCUGCCUGAUUUCUGUCUAUCUUUUCAUGCAUUUCAAACAAGGUACCUGUUCCGCCACACGCCCAGCUGAGUGAGCAAAGUGGGCUAGGUUGCCAAGAGACCAACAACCUGGAGACAGUGAACAAAACAUAUGGCUUUACUGGGGAGUUACUUACAGGGAAGGUCCAGUGGCGGCUGGCUGAACAGGUGAUGUGCAUCCACUAUCGCUCCCUGAGAGAAGCUUGCUUAAGUAGGCAGAAGAGCAAAGCCUGCAUGCUUGCCAAGGGGGACUGUCCUGUAUGACCUGCAUUCAAAGGAUCAGAGGCAUCCCCCACCCCAGAGGGCCUCCGUGUUCCCUCAGACCAUGAGGGUCUCUGUGCUAACUCUCCCAUGAGAAAGCAGCUGUGUUGGCCAAGCCCAGGACUAUUAUCACCAUGAGUGCUGGCACAUAGCCCUGACAAGGAGCCUCAAGGACAUGUGGUUUUAAAGGGGGCAUGCCAGCUAGCACCCCUACAGUACCCCAAUGCUUCUGGUAUUAGGAAUGAACAAGAUUCUAUGCAUGAGAAUAAUAAAGGACUGAGUUCUUACCUCAAACUUCACCCAUACUCUCCACAACCUUCAGCAAGAUCCAAGAUACACAGCCAGCAUUUACUUCAGAUGUGUGAACUGCUGUCCUACCAUCUUCAAGGCUAAGACUCCAAACUGCUUUACAUACUACAUCUAGCGUGACUAAGAAUAAUAAGCAAGAGCCUGUGGCCAAGUACAUCAUUGGGUAGCCACAAAUUAUAAAAAGAACAUGCCACUACAUCAACAAGGAUGCCGCCACAGUAUGGCUUGAUGAGCAGUGCUAGGUCUG